rnacentral:lncRNA from 1 species
AGCUUACCAACUGUGUUACAUAUUUUUCAAGUGAGUACAAAUUGUACACAUUAAAUGAGUUAAAUUUAAGAGCAGAACUUGCCAUUAAUUGUUAUACAUUGCUGACUUUGUAUAACAGCUUAGUCUUUGUUCUCAAUCUAACCUGUUCAAUGAUUUAUUUAUUUUUUAAUUCAUGUAAAUUUAUAAUAUUAAAUUAAUACAUGAAUCUUUGCACUAACAUUUUUAUAAUUAUAUUAUUCGAAUCGGUUACCCAUUCUCUCUAAUUCUAUCAUAUAUUUAUGACUGAAUAUAACUUAAUUCUUACUGGAUGUAGCGGUACAUGUAAGAAUAUUGCAAACACGAAAGUUUUAUUUAUUUGGAAAUACACUAAUUAGCAUUUUUCUAAUCUUAUUUUGCACUGUAUACAGUUACUAGUGACUGUAUAGAAGAAUCUUGCAAACAUUAAUUUUUAAAUUAUUUAGAAAUUUACUUUUUAGUUUUUUUCUCAGCGGAUGCAGAGGCUUCCUUCCCGCCGGGAGCUGAGGCUUCUGCACUGCCGGGAGCUAAGGCUUUUGCACCGCCGGGAGCAGAGGCUUCUGCACCACCGGGAGCAGAGGCUCCUGCACCAUCUUGUAACUCAACUAGUUUCUCGGUCAGAGGAUCGGCUUCUACCUCGCCUUUUACCUCGUUGGCAGCAGCAAGUUUCUCCUCUUCUGCAACGGCACCUUUUGCCUGAGCGUUUGAAACAGUAAUGAAGGAAAACAUAAUCAAUAGUGAAAUACAACAGAUGAAAAGCUCAA